GAUGAACGCUGGCGGCGUGCCUAAUACAUGCAAGUCGAGCGAACAGACGAGGAGCUUGCUCCUCUGACGUUAGCGGCGGACGGGGGAGUAACACGUGGAUAACCUACCUAUAAGACUGGGAUAACUUCGGGAAACCGGAGCUAAUACCGGAUAAUAUAUUGAACCGCAUGGUUCAAUAGUGAAAGACGGUUUUGCUGUCACUUAUAGAUGGAUCCGCGCCGCAUUAGCUAGUUGGUAAGGUAACGGCUUACCAAGGCAACGAUGCGUAGCCGACCUGAGAGGGUGAUCGGCCACACUGGAACUGAGACACGGUCCAGGCUCCUACGGGAGGCAGCAGUAGGGAAUCUUCCGCAAGGGGCGAAAGCCUGACGGAGCAACGCCGCGUGAGUGAUGAAGGUCUUCGGAUCGUAGAACUCUGUUAUUAGGGAAGAACAAAUGUGUAAGUAACUAUGCACGUCUUGACGGUACCUAAUCAGAAAGCCACGGCUAACUACGUG
rnacentral:rRNA from 1 species